UGUUUAUAAAGAAGAGGCAAGAGACUAGGCUCAAAGACCCUCUAGCAACCAUCAUAAAUAAUGAAAAGGUGCUACAUCCUAGCCUAAAUUUUUAGGAACUAUAAGCA
rnacentral:ncRNA from 2 species